rnacentral:rRNA from 1 species
AUUUGAACGCUGGCGGAAUGCUUUACACAUGCAAGUCGAACGGCAGCACGGGGCAACCUGGUGGCGAGUGGCGAACGGGUGAGUAAUACAUCGGGAACGUGCCCAAUCGUGGGGGAUAACGUAGCGAAAGUUACGCUAAUACCGCAUACGAUCUACGGAUGAAAGCGGGGGAUCGCAAGACCUCGCGCGAAUGGAGCGGCCGAUGUCAGAUUAGGUAGUUGGUGGGGUAAAAGGCUUCACCAAGCCAACGAUCUGUAGCUGGUCUGAGAGGACGACCAGCCACACUGGAACUGAGACAACGGUCCCAAGGACUCCUACGGAGGCAGCAGUGGGAAUUUGGACAAUGGGCGCAAGCCUGAUCCAGCCGAUUCCGCGUGCAGGAUGAAGGCCUC